rnacentral:rRNA from 1 species
UACAGAGGUCCCAAGCGUUGUUCGGAUUCAUUGGGCGUAAAGGGUGCGUAGGCGGCGCGGUAAGUCGGGUGUGAAAUCUCGGGGCUUAACUCCGAAACUGCAUUCGAUACUGCCGUGCUUGAGGACUGGAGAGGAGACUGGAAUUUACGGUGUAGCGGUGAAAUGCGUAGAUAUCGUAAGGAAGACCAGUGGCGAAGGCGGGUCUCUGGACAGUGCCUGACGCUGAGGCACGAAGGCCAGGGGAGCAAACGGG